UGGCUGGUGAGGAGAGGUCGCUGUCACACGCGAGCAGCGAGUUUACCCAAAUUUUGACAGUGUUCGUGGACGGAAGGUUUCGUGCUCGGGUUUGCCGUGUCAUCAAAUAAAUUGCGUUUUGGAUCGUACGCUGAUAUCAAUUUCUGAUUUCCACACAACCAGCAAAGAUUCAUUUACAAAUACGCUCAGAUUGACAUUUCUAUGCGAUCCAAACACAACCAAUUCAACGUGACACGACCAAACUCGAGACCUAACACUUUCGUCAAUAUCCCCUCCCUCGGAUACUGUGCGGCAUAAAAAAACCUUCGGUAGAAAGAAGGCGCUUACAGCCUACUAAAGAUAUCUUGCAAAAAGGUUGCCAACCAACGGCCAGACAAAAAAGAGUGCAACAAAAGCACGCAUCGUA